rnacentral:lncRNA from 1 species
GUCACUUGUGUUUAUCGUGGCCAGUGUGUAUAUCAGAUGGGAUUAUUUGCUCUGGAUGUUUGAUAUCAUUAUUAAUGAGAUGGAUUUGAAUUCUGAGUUAUCAAGUCUUUUCUUCAUCAUGCUAAAUCCAGAUACAAGCACGAUGACGUAUGUAAAAAAUAGCUCAGUCAGUACACACCUGUGUGGAUCUUCAGACAUUCCCAGACAUUUCACAAAAAAUGGGCAACACCACUGCAUGCUGCAAAACUUUCAGUUGUUUGAACUGGAAGCAUGAGGUGAACGAACUAAUCACCACCACUUUUCCAGUUCAGUAUUCAGUCCAGUGUGUUGAGAAUGCUGAGGCUGAAGAGGCGAAAGUGGUGUUUGAAUCUGAAUCAUUUCCGUACCACCCUCAUUUCACCGGUCAUCCAAAGAAGUCAGUCCAGUGUGUUGAGAAUGCUGAGGCUGAAGUGGUGAUAGUGGUGUUUGACUCUGAAUCAUUUCCGUACCACUUUAAUUUCACCAGUCAUCCAAAGGUUUCAGAUCAGUGUGUGCAGAAUCCAGAUGUUUGAUUUUUGAACAUCUCACCACACUUCUCCACAUUCUAAAAUGAAUAAAAACAAAAUGUACAAUG